rnacentral:lncRNA from 1 species
GGAAAGUUUUCCUGAGUUUUUGACAUCAUUACAAAAAGCCUGGCCACGCGAAGCCUCUGAGCUUCACAUGUGCGACCUGCAUGAUUUUCACGUGAGCAUAUCCCGCACCGUUCCCAUAAGGCACCACUGGAUUGAGCCUCUUAAGGAGCUACUACAACGUGGAUUUCAAGGGAAACGCAAGUAUGGAACAAUGACACGUGUGUGUGUCUAUUUUGGGCUGUUAGUGGUUAGUGCCACCUCUGUGGCUGGAGUUUCAGUUUCACUCCACCCGGCAACACCACAGGUCUUCCUCGGGUAGUUCAGUUUCCUCCAGUAGUAACACGGGAACAAUAAGUGAUGGCCUUACUGGACCUCUAGACUAAGGAAAACAGUUUAGAUCUCAUAGAUUAGCUAUCUUUAAAAACGACCACUGUAAAGAUUCACAUUUAUUUAAAUUAAAUAUAGGUUUGUUUGCGACUUUCGAAAAGUUGGUAUUUAUGUCAAUGACGAGAAGACAAGGUAAACAUCGCGAAAUAUUGGAGGGGGGG